rnacentral:rRNA from 1 species
UACGGAGGGUGCGAGCGUUGUCCGGAAUCAUUGGGCGUAAAGGGCGCGUAGGUGGCCCCUCAAGCGUGCGGUGAAAGUCAGGGGCUCAACCCCUGAUCGGCCGUGCGAACUGGGGAGCUUGAGCACUGUAGAGGCAGGCGGAAUUCCGGGUGUAGCGGUGGAAUGCGUAGGAGAAUCGGGAGGAACACCCGUGGCGAAAGCACCUGCCUGGGCUUCUAUUGACGCUAAGACUCGAAAGCUGGGGGAGCAAACAGG